GAUGAACGCUAGCUACAGGCUUAACACAUGCAAGUCGAGGGGUAACGAGAGGGAAGCUUGCUUUCCUUGUCGACGACCGGCGCACGGGUGAGUAACGCGUAUCCAACCUGCCCCCAACUAGGGAAUAACCUUGCGAAAGUAAGACUAAUACCCUAUAAUUUCCUCAGAUGUCAUCUGACGAGGAAUAAAGAUUUAUCGGUUGUGGAUGGGGAUGCGUCUGAUUAGCUUGUUGGCGGGGUAACGGCCCACCAAGGCAACGAUCAGUAGGGGUUCGGAGAGGAAGGUCCCCCACAUUGGAACUGAGACACGGUCCAAACUCCUACGGGAGGCAGCAGUGAGGAAUAUUGGUCAAUGGGCGGAAGCCUGAACCAGCCAAGUAGCGUGCAGGAUGACGGCCCUAUGGGUUGUAAACUGCUUUUAUACAGGAAUAAAGUUAGCCACGUGUGGUUAUUUGUAGGUACUGUAUGAAUAAGGACCGGCUAAUUUCGUGCCAGCAGCCGCCGUAA
rnacentral:rRNA from 1 species